rnacentral:rRNA from 2 species
AAAUUGAAGAGUUUGAUCAUGGCUCAGAUUGAACGCUGGCGGCAGGCCUAACACAUGCAAGUCGAACGGUAACAGGAAACAGCUUGCUGUUUCGCUGACGAGUGGCGGACGGGUGAGUAAUGUCUGGGAAACUGCCUGAUGGAGGGGGAUAACUACUGGAAACGGUAGCUAAUACCGCAUAACGUCGCAAGACCAAAGAGGGGGACCUUCGGGCCUCUUGCCAUCG